rnacentral:lncRNA from 1 species
UCAAAUCUUGGUUGCCGACGCCGCCCUUUCCCAAUAAUUGGUAAUCGCCGAUGAGCGCAGACAGGGAGCUGUACCGUUGGUCCAAAAAUCCGAUCCAGUUACUCACUAAACCAGUAACAAGUUUUCCCUUUUAUCCUUAAACAACAUCGAUUUUCAAUUGUAAUUAUAUACAAGCAAGUAACAUAUUUGGUAGCCCUAGUUAUGGUUUAGAUAUUUGGGAUGGCACAGAAGGCUAGCGAUACUGCUGUUUAUGCCAUUCACUCACAGCGUCUAUAUUUGCAUCUAUUCGUUUUGCUGUGUGUAGUUGUAGCGACAAGAGGGGUUGAUUUGGAGAUGGAGGUGGCGAUUUUGUGGACGUGGAGAAUUGGGUUUCGUUUUUCAGAUUUUGUUUGAGCUUGAGUGGUGUUAAUUUUCAUAUCACAAGCAGAAAGGAGAAGCACCACCACGGAUUGGGGAAAAUCACGUAGAAACCAAGUCUUCGGUCACAGGAGAAAGAAACUGGUGUUCUUGCAAAUUUGGCUUUGGAUUUCUUUAGAUACGUUUAUAUAAUAG